rnacentral:rRNA from 1 species
AUGGACAAGGAAGCGAUCCUGAAUAUACCUUUGAGUACACGAGUACAAUCUGACUUUUGGGCCUGGCAUUAUGACAGAAGAGGCACUUUUUCAGUAAGGUCUGCCUACCGUUUAUUGGCGACUACAAAGCAACAGAGAACGGAAUGGGUGGAGCAUGUUCCGGGGCAUUCAGAUACGGAUGCAGAUAAGAAGUCUUGGGGCAAACUUUGGAAUUUGAGCAUCCCACCCAAAAUCAAAAUUUUUGCUUGGCGGCUAGCCAAGACAUCGAUCCCCACAGGCGAGGUGAGGAAGGAGAGGAAGAUGACGGACUCGGCGGCUUGCCCACUUUGCCAAGCGACAGUGGAUACGUGGAGACACUCUCUGUUUGAUUGCCAUAUGUCACGUUGUGUCUGGGCUCUGGCUGAUGAGGAACUGAUAGAAGUAAUGAUCUCAAACCAAAUAGAGGAUGCUCGUUUGUGGAUGUUCUGGCUACUGGAUACUCUAAAAGAGCAAGAAGUUGUUCAGAUUUUGAUCACAAUGUGGGCCAUAUGGUGGGCGCAGCGCCGUGCUAUCCAUGAUGAGCAGUACCAAAGCCCCUUGAGCACUUCGGUUUUCAUCAACAAAUUUCUGUCCGAUCUUGAUUGCAUGGCUGUGCACAAGACACGCAGGAGGGACUUGCAUGGUUGGCUUCCUCCAACCGCUGCAGAAGCGAAGCUAAACAUUGAUGGAGGCGUGUCCAGAUCAGGUAGAAGGGGUGCAGCAGCUGUGGUCUGUCGUGACAGGGCGGGAGCUUUUCUUGGAGCCUCAGCCAGAGUUUUUGAGGGUCUCACGGAUCCGCCCUCGCUGGAAGCACAAUCAUGCAAUGAAGCCCUUGCUUUGGCGAUGGAUCUCAACCUCAACUCUAUAUGCGUGGCCUCGGAUUGUGCUGUUGUUAUUUCCAUGAUAGGCUCGGAUGUCCCCUGCCAGUUUGCCUCAGUUUUGAGUGAGAUAAACCAUAGGGCUAGUUUUUUUCCUACUAUCCAUUUUAUUCAUGAGAAUAGGAAGCAUAAUUUCGAAGCGCACGCUCUUGCAAAAGCUGCGGCUUCUUUGUCUCCCGGGCGCCACCUGUGGCUUCUAAAUACGCCCGACAUUAUCUGUAUCCCUAUGAACAUCCAGAUUUAA